UUUAAUUUUGUGCUUUGUUUUUAAACUCAAGUAAUCUUGCAUUUUUGUUCCCUAGCAAGUUUCUACCUGAGGCUUUGUUUACCUUGCUGAGUUCUGGCUUCGUUUAAAGAGAAUCUCUUUGCUCCUGGAUUAUUAACUACUGAGUUAAGGAACUACCUUCUUGUGGAUUUCUCUCACCUCCGUCUGAACCUUUCGGACACGGACCAAGCUGGCGGCUUCCCGUUUCCUUCGACUCCAAGACCCUGGCAUCAGCACACCCUGCUUCUUCCUCCUUCUCAAACAUUGGCACCUGCGCUCCCUUUUGCUGGCACCAAGCUCACAACAGAAAAUACAACAAGACAAUUCCCCUUCGCAGGUUAAGACUCUGAAUCUCUCUACCCCUGGCGGUUCUUGCUACAACAAUUUAUUGGUGUUCCCAGUUCCCGUCCUAGAUUACCUUAUUGACAAUAAAACCAUAAACGUUUC